rnacentral:rRNA from 1 species
UACGAAGGGGGGCUAGCGUUGCUCGGAAUCACUGGGCGUAAAGGGUGCGUAGGCGGGUCUUUAAGUCAGGGGUGAAAUCCUGGAGCUCAACUCCAGAACUGCCUUUGAUACUGAGGAUCUUGAGUUCGGGAGAGGUGAGUGGAACUGCGAGUGUAGAGGUGAAAUUCGUAGAUAUUCGCAAGAACACCAGUGGCGAAGGCGGCUCACUGGCCCGA